rnacentral:misc_RNA from 1 species
UAACAAUGCAAAUAAAUACAAUGUAUUGUGGCUGGUUUUUAUGAGAAAUAAGAUUUAGUGGAGUUUAAAUUUUCAUAUUUGUUUAUUUUUGAGAAGUAUGUAAAACAAGAGUUUUUAACAUUUUUUCUAAAAUAUAUAAUAUAUUUGUGAAAAAACGCAAUACUGGAAAAUCACGUAAUUUGAUGAAAAUAAAUUAUAUUUUUAUGUUUAUGUCAACAAAAUAUAGUGGCGUUUUUUAUUCGUAGAGAAAUACAUAUUGUGUAUAUCAUAUAUACUUAGUGCUUAAAUUUGAAAAUUUUAUUGUGUGUGAAUAUGUUUCAAAAUUCCUUUUAAGUGGAAUUUUAAAAAUUAAAAUGAAAUAAAAACGUUUAAAUUAAAUGUCUGGCGAAAACGAAACAGAAGGAUAAAAUGUAAUGAAGAUACAAUAAUACAAAUGUGAAAAAUAACAAAUUUAAGUAAAAAAAUUGUGUGUAUGCCAUCUGCAAACAAUGACAUGUUUUGAGAGAGAAAAGUCAUAAUAAAGCGAAAUAUUCAGGAUAUGGAUUUGCUCCGUUAAUGUUAAUCAUAAGUGUAGACACAAAAAUGUGGCGAUUUUUAUUGUAUACCUCCCAUAUACCCUUUACAAAAGCAAAGACUGAAUUCAUACUCUAAACGAUCGUUUUACUACUACGACAACAAUUCACAAUAUUGAGAAAUAAUGAAUUUAUUGAUCAGUAUUUAAAAACAUCUCAUUGAUUUCUAUAUGCGAUUUCGUAAGGAAACUAUAUCGCUUAAUAAUCACCAUUAUUAAAAAGGAAGUAUUUGCAAAACAAUAAUAAAACUUUGAGGAAGUUUUAUAUAUAUGCAUUUCUAAUAAAAUAUAUAAUAAUAAGCGUAUAAUUUUAAAUAUAUAUGUAUAUGUACAUAAGGAAUUACUUACAAAUAUGACAUCUAAUGAAACUACUUUCUAUAAACACAAAUCGAGCUCAGAACAUUGUAAUCUAAAAGGAUGUCAGAGGAAACGAAAGCCUUUAAUUGAUAUAGCUAUAAGAUUACUGCUUUACGGAUUUAAUUGGCUGAUAUUAUGGUCUGCAAUACUAGGAGUAGUAGUCGAGUGUAUAGCAGGACAACAUAUAAAUAAUAAAAAUCUUAAUUCUACACACACUCAAGUAUUUUCAUCCGGGGAAAUUGUGGCCCAAUUUACCCUCCCUCAGAUAUCUGUUGGACAUACUGAUGAACAAGCCGUAACUACGGCUGAUGGAUUGCCCGACUCCUCAACAAUUACUUCAAGUAUUGGAAAUUUUUCAACAACAACUUCUUCAGUUGGAUCUUCGUCUUCUUCAAAUGGUAGUUUACAAAAUUAUCUCACACAUUUAGCGUACGAUUAUAAACGUAAUGUUUUUUAUGCGGGCGCCACAAACAAAAUUUUACAGUUAAAUGAAAACCUAAGAGUAUUAUCUCAAGCUUUAACUGGUCCAAAAAACGAUUCUCCUCAGUGCCAUGCCAGCGGUUGCUCGGAUGAAGUUGAGACUUCGCUUGUAAAUAAUCACAAUAAAAUUCUGAUUGUUAGUUAUUCUCAAGGGGAUGGUAUAUUAAUAGCAUGUGGUAGUGUGCGACAGGGUGCCUGUGAUAUCUAUAAUUUAGCACGUUUUCCGAAAAAUUCGCGUUUUAUCGAUAUACCGUUAGCGGCUAAUGAUGAGUUUGCCUCGACUUAUGCCUUUGUUGGCCCUGCAAAGUAUUCCUGGAAAAAGGAAGACAUUUUGUAUGUCGGUACAACAUUUACUAAUGUUGGAGAUUAUAGACAUGAUGUGCCUGCAAUAUCGUCGAGACGUUUGGAAGAUUUGAAUUACGCUGAAUUUGAAAUCAAACAAUCGAUUAUAAAUAUAGAUGUUAAGUACAGAGAUCACUUCCUGGUCGAUUAUGUUUAUGGAUUUAAUUCAUCGGAGUUCGCUUAUUUCGCUAUAGUUCAAAAGCGUUCCCACUUAGCUGAAGAGGCAGGAUAUGUUACACGCUUAGCGCGAAUCUGUAUUACGGACUCCAACUAUGAUAGUUAUACAGAAAUAACUAUACAAUGUUUAGCAACCCACAAUAAAGUUGAUUAUAAUAUAUUACGAGAUGCUAAAAUAACUGAAGCUGGUCAAAAGUUGGCCCAACAAAUGGGAAUCAAAAAGGGUGAUCAUGUUUUAGUAGCCAUAUUUUCACCAUCUAGAGAAAUUACAAAUCAGCCUGAAGAUAAAUCUGCUAUGUGUAUUUACAGUCUAAAAGAAAUAGAGGAAGUAUUUAACGAAAAUAUUCAUCUAUGUUUUAAUGGUACAAUAAAGGACCGUAAUUUGGGUUAUAUAUCAGGUACCAUUGAUGAUGGCCGCUGUCCUAGGACUACUGGCAAUGUGUAUAACUUUUGUAAUGUUGGGCUUAAAAUAAGUGGUGUAUCUCCAAUUACUUCGAAUGCGUUAUUUCACUUUGAUAACGUUUCUAUAACAUCUGUAACAGCAACUACCACUGGACCACAUUCCUUAGCGUUUCUUGGCACGGACAAAGGAAAAAUAAAAAAAGUUUUAAUAUCUGGACAUCAUCCUGGAGAAUAUGAAGAAAUAAUGGUAGAUCCUGGAAACCAAAUAUUACAGGAUACUAUGAUGUCACCAAAAAAAGAUUUUCUAUAUGUACUAUCUAAACGCAAGAUUACCAAACUGCGUAUUGAACACUGUUCAGUUUAUACAAACUGUUCUUCAUGCCUUGAAUCACGUGAUCCAUUUUGUGGAUGGUGUUCUUUGGAAAAACGCUGUACUGUACGUUCUACAUGUCAAAAAGAUACUUCUGCUGCUCGCUGGUUGUCAUUAGGUAGUGGUCAGCAGUGCAUAGAUUUUGAGUCAAUAUUACCGGAUAAAAUACCUAUUACAGAAGUCUCGCAAGUACAACUAAUCAUUCGCACCCUCCCAGAACCUUUCAAUGGAAAGUAUCGUUGUGUCUUUGGCAAUUCUUCACCUAUAGAUGCAGAAGUACUUGAAAGUGGUCUAUCCUGUAUGACACCUCCAUUAUCCCAACGACCGCUUAUACCGCCAAAUUCUGAUCAUGUUUUAGUUCCAUUGUCUGUGCAUAGCUCGGAGACAAACAAAGAUUUUGUCACGCGUUCGUUUGCCUUUUUCGACUGUUCGCGACACAAUACAUGUCAAACAUGUGUUCACAGCGCUUGGGAUUGUAACUGGUGUAUAUAUGACAACAAAUGUGUGCACAAAAUGCAGCAAUGUAGGAAUUUGGAAAAUGUUAUUGUUAAAGAGUCUGAAUGUCCACAUUUGAAACACUCCAAAGAACCAAUUUUAAUGCCUGUACGAGUUCCAAAAGAAAUACGAUUUGAAAUUGAAAAUUUGCCGAAACCAAAAAGUGCACACUCUGGAUUUUUAUGCACUGUCCAAAUAGAAGCAGCUCAAAUGUUAUUACCGGCUCGUAUUGAAAACAACAGAAUUGUAGUUUGUGAAAAAACACCAUAUUUCUAUGAAACAAAUACAUAUGAAUAUCAAGCUAAAGUUGAUAUAACUUGGAAUCGCCAACAUUAUAUAGAUACAGCAAUUGUAACACUUUACAAAUGUGAUGUAUUGGGAUCACAUCGUGAACAUGCUGAUUGUAGUUUAUGUGUAACAAGAGAUCCAAAAUAUCAUUGUGCUUGGUGCGCAAAUACAUGUGUCUAUAACGAAACUUGUGCUGCAAUUACGGCACUAAACAAUGGUGUAGACUUAGACGUAUUAUCUUCAUCUUCGACACCAGUGCUUGCUCCAAAACAUAACUUUGAGUCAAAAUUUAAUGAAUGCCCUAAACCACGCAUAGAUAUGAUUAAACCUUUGUUUGGACCUAUUGAAGGCGGCACUCUGGUAACAAUUGAGGGUAGCAAUUUAGGGAUAAGAGAAGAAGAUGUAAAGGGCAAGAUAUCUAUUGGUUCUGUGCCUUGUGAAUUGGUCAAUUAUGAAAUUUCGGUAAAAAUUGAAUGUCGCACCGGUGCCGUCAGUCACGAGCUUACUGCACCAGUAAAAGUUUUUAAUGGCGCAGGUUUUACUGAGUCGAGUGUACAGUUCCAGUUUAAGGAUAUACAGUUAAAUGGUUUAACACCAACAGUGGGUCCCAAAUCCGGGGGAACUAAAAUUACUUUAAUGGGAAAAUAUUUAAAUAUUGGUUCUAAUAUACGUGCUUUUCUAGACAACUAUGAAUGCUUUAUUAAUAUGAUUCAGGCAUCAUCAUCACGCCUGACAUGCAUUACUUCGGAAUCAUCACAACCAGAACCAAUUAGAACGUUACACCUAAUGGUUGAUGGUGCUAAUCGCACAUACACCUGCCAAAUGCCUCAGCUUCAACAGAAUAUGCGGUCACUAUAUGAUCAACAAAUUUUGUUUCACAAUAACUAUCAUUACAAUUUACCUUCUCUAGCAAUGCCGUGUUCAAUAUAUAAUUACACUCAGGACCCCACCAUAAUGGAAAUUAAACCACUGCGAAGUUUUGCAAGCGGUGGUCGACUUUUAACAGUCCAUGGCAUGUUUCUGGAUUCAAUUCAAAAACCUGAACUAGAAGUUUAUUUUGAAAGCGAGCGAUUAAACAAAACUACUUGUGUGGUUAUAAAUUCAAGCCAAAUGGAAUGCCCAUCUCCAGCUGUAUCUCAAAAGUUUCUAGCAUAUAAAACUGCCUUAGACCAACAGGCAGAUAAUGCAGGCAAUAAUCAAGCUACUGCAUCAUCAGUUUCGUCGGGUUAUAAUUCUCUAAGAAAGCUAGAAAACCCAUAUAGCCGAGAUAUGGCCUAUAUUUAUAGUACAACUGGCAAUAUUUAUAAUAACAAUGAUGGUUUUUACCAAGCCCAGGAUGUGGCAGCUUUUGUAAAAAUACGUGAGACUCAGUUAAAUCUGCAACUGGGUUUCAAUAUGGAUGAUGUUCAAUGGGUGAAGGACUUAAAUAAAUACUUUCCGAGCCUAAGAAGUACCAUAGUGUAUGUACAAGAUCCGAAGUACUACCCUUUUAAUGAAAAUCCAAAACUUUACAAGGGCGAUACACUAGUAAUUGAGGGAGAAAUGUUAAAUGUUGCUGCAGAUGAAUCAGAUGUCAAAGUUACCAUAGGAACAACGCAAUGUAAUGUUACUAGUUUAACGCUUACCCAAUUGCUAUGUACCCCACCGGAAAAACAGCCAGCUCCUACAAAUGAAAAUGGUGUGGAGCAGCUAAACGAUUUACCGCUUGUUGUAGUAAACGUUGGACGCAAUAUGCGCUUCGUAAUAGGGCAUAUAAAGUAUGAUUUAAUGAAACCGUAUUCGUUUUCUCAUGCCAUGUGGGUUAUUAUCUGUACAGUUGUUGUUGUUGUUGUACUCUUAAUAAUUGUUCUAUUCAUAUAUCGGCGAAAGACAACACAGGCCGAAAGAGAAUAUAAACGCAUACAAAUUCAAAUGAUUACAUUGGAGAGUAACGUUCGUUCAGAAUGUAAGCAGGCAUUUGCGGAACUGCAAACUGACAUGACAGAUUUAACGGCCGAUUUGGAAACAUCUGGUAUACCCACCUUAGAUCAUAUAAAUUAUAUUAUGAAAGUAUUUUUCCCAGGUGUAACAGAUCAUCCUAUAUUGAAUUCUCCAAAGUUGCGUAUAAAUAGUCCACAGACUAAUUAUGACACUGCCAUGUUGCAAUUUGAGCAACUAAUUAGCAACAAAUAUUUUGUAUUAACAUUCAUAGAGACAUUGGAAGCUCAAAAAUCAUUUAACAUACGAGACAAGGUCAAUGUGGCAUCUCUUUUGAUGAUUGUACUGAUGAACAAAAUGGAAUAUGCUACAGAAAUUUUAAAAUGUUUACUACUUCGUUUAGUAGACAAAUCAGUGUGUAGUAAACAUCCACAAUUAAUGUUGCGUCGUACAGAAAGUGUGGUCGAAAAAAUGCUUACCAACUAUAUGGCCAUUUGUAUGUAUGAUUAUUUAAAGGAAUAUGCUGGGUCAAGCUUGUUUUUAUUGUUUAAAGCCAUUAAACAUCAAAUUGAAAAAGGGCUAGUUGAUGCCAUAACCCACGACGCCCGAUAUUCUUUAUCAGAGGAAAGACUUUUGCAUGAACAAAUACCCCAUUCAGUUGUUAUGCUACAUAUCGUACAAGAUGAUUUAGAUGAAAAGGUACAAUGCAAAGUUUUAGACUGGGAUACGAUAUCCCAAGUCAAAUGCAAAAUUUUAGAUGCCUUGUUUAAAAACACUCCCUUUUCAAUGAGGCCAUCAGUACAUGAAGUUGAUUUAGAAUGGCGUCACGGCCGAGGUGGUCAUUUGAUACUACAAGAUGAGGAUUUAACAACGAAAACUAUUAACUGUUGGAAACGUUUAAAUACAUUAGCACAUUAUGGCGUUAAAGAAUCGGCUGUUAUGAGUUUAGUUGCCAGACAAAAUGAUAGUUUUAAUAUUCCAUAUACAAAACAGCAACCUCAUCCAUACAACAAUUUUUAUUACAUCAAUAAUUCACAAUCCCAUAUUAUAAUGAACAACGAUAUCGAAUCCGGCCUGCAACAGCCACGUGUUUAUCAUUUAAUAAAACCAUUAUUGCCCGAUCAUUAUAUGAACAUGAAAAAUUCAGCUAUAUCAUCGGGUGGUAACAACACCAAUAAUUCUGGAUCAGUAUGUGCGACUACGGGUGAACGCACACACAAAACCAUACCUGAAGUUUAUUUGACACGGCUUUUGGCAGCUAAGGGCACUAUACAAAAAUUUGUUGAUGAUUUUUUUGCUACUAUAUUAACAGUUAAUGAAGAAUUGCCUCCUGCAGUAAAAUGGUUAUUUGACUUACUAGAUGAAGCUGCACGAAGACACGAUAUUUAUGACACUGAUAUAGUUCAUGCAUGGAAGUCAAACAGCUUGCCUUUAAGAUUUUGGGUUAAUUUUAUAAAAAAUCCUGAUUUUAUAUUUGAUGUAAAUAAAACAGUUACUGUCGAUGCCAGUUUGAGCGGAAUUGCCCAAGCGUUUAUGGAUGCUUGUUCAGUUACCGAACAUAGAUUGGGUAAAGAUUCACCAUCCAAUAAAUUAUUAUUUGCCAAGGAUAUUCCUCAAUACCGUAAAAUGGUUAAGCAAUUCUACAGAGAUGUUGCUAGACUGCCACAAAUUAGCGAUCAGGAAAUGAGUACUGCUAUGCAGCAAUUAUCCAUACAACAAAAUGACGAAUUCGAUACUGUAGCUGCUCUAAAAGAGCUUUAUAUAUACGUUACCAAAUAUAAUGAUCAGAUAAUAAAUGCCUUAGAAAAUGAUAUAAAUUGUAAAAAAAUGCAUCUGGGCUACAAAUUGGAAAAUGUUGCAUUCACUUUAGAAGGAGAAGAGACUUCUGCUUGCUGACACUCAUUUAGAUUGCAUGCAGUUUUCCAAAAAUAUAUUUAUAUUCAAAGUAAUGUUUUAAAUAUGUCUUUUAGAGCCACGUCAAAAGAAAAUUUUUUGCAAAGCUUUCUUAAAGAUGCAGCCUAUUUUCUAACAUUUGGGAAUGUUCGAGAUAUUAACAAACAAAUAUGGCAUGGUCGACUUAGAAUGUUUUAAUUAAAUACUCAAAUAUAUUGUAUGGGGUCCCAGAUGAAUAUUAGUAUUUUCGGAUCUUCAUUGUGAUAUUUUUUUAAUAAUUUC